GCUCACACUUCACAAGAUGGCGUCCUCUGUUCUGCUCUGCCUAUAAGAAAAGGCAAAGCAACAAGGUCAGUCACCAGGGCUGUAAGACCCUGGGGCUGAAGAGACAACAAACUUCCCAGAAAGUGUGCGUUGCGUUACGCUGCAAAUGUGUGCUUGGCUGUAAGGAGUACACACCAAAGCCUGCUGAGCUGUGACGAGAAGAGACAGGUCUAUUCGGAGCUUUAACCACCCUCUGCAUCAGCUCCUGCUUCCUGACCUGCUUGAGUUCCAGUCCUGACUUCCUUUGGUGAUGAACAGCGAUGUGGAAGUCCUGGUGAUGUGAUUGGUUGUGUCGUUGGCCUUUAAGUAUUGAACCAACGUUCCAUUCCUAGGAGAAAUCCCAUCUGGUUAAGAAGAAGCUCAUGGUUACAAAGGAAUACUUGUUGAGUUUUACAGCAAAGAAACCAAUAUGUUUGAGAUUCGUGUACACGAAAAGAUGGAGGAAAACCAUCUGUGUCUUCAAGACGACCAUGCUUGGACCAGCUCCAUCUCUCAACAUGAAUCCAAGAGAGACACCCAAGCAACUCAUUUCGGCGCCAGGAUGGGAACCAGAGCUGGCCCAGGACCUCGGCUGCUCACAACAUAAAUCAGAGGCAGUAAAGUGUUCAGCCGUCUGUGGAAAUACGCACAACCAGCAGAUCAAAGCACUGAGAGGAAACUGAGCUUAGCCCUGAGUAGGAUAUGAACACCCUCGCACACCAAGGGGAUGUCACAGAAGAGGUGAGGAAAGAACGUAAGAGCUAGAAGUUGAAGCCGUGUGCUGUGAAAUGACUCGUUCAGACAUGGCAGAGUCAUGAACCCACAGAAGCCAGCUGUGAUUAUCUAAUCAAACCGGUACAAGACUGAACCAUUGAGUUCCCAGUAUAGAUGAGGCCCAUGAUCUCCAGGCCCCAUUCCCUACUAAGGAGUCGCUGCUGUUGGCACUUAAUGGCUGCUGGGGUAGACACCUUUUAGUGUUCCCAAGCUCCAUGGAUGGCCCCAUACCCAUAUGGACAUUAACUGGAAUUAGUGGGCUAAUAAGGAAAAACAAGUGGAGAGAGGGACAUGAGUACACCUGGGGGAUACAGAAAGAGUUAGAAUAAGGACCUGGAGGUGGGUAUGAUUACAGUUCUUUGUAUACAAAUAUGGAAUUCAAGAUUUUUUUAAUUCAAAAACUUAAAAAAAAAAGGGAAAAACAAAACAAAAUAAACAAACAAACAAAAAAAAAAAAAAACCAACAGUUUAAGUGUGGUCCCAGGACUAAGGCUGUGAGUCUGAGAAGACAAUGGGGGCCUCCUGAGACGCAAUACACACUCCCAACACUGGUCCAUAAUGGCCCAGCCAAAGUGUCACUCUAGGCUGAGGUCACACUCUCUGACCAAGCCAUUCCCACAAAAGGCCACAUUCAGCACAGAGACUUGCUAUUCAACCAGGACGGUGCUCGCAUCCCUGCCUCCAUGGUUGAUGCUGCUUAGUGGGCUCCAGGGUGACUGGUCACCUAGUCUAUUUGGCACCUUCUAAAUUGUCAGGGAAGGAAGUCUGGACAGAUUGGCCUUACACCAGUGGGGUACACAGUGAGAUCUGGAUCAGGGGGUUGGAGAGACAGGAAUGAGAGCUGAGAAAUACCCAGCUAGUUCUGAAACAUUUCAGACAAUCUCUCAGGCGGAGAUACCUGGCCCUGGCUUCCCAGGAAGCAGGGAUGACAACAGGAUUCAACCUCUUGUUAGCUCUCUGUAUCCUUGACAAUCUCAAGACACACCAAGCCAUUCCUGUAGCAGCUCACACCCCAGCCCACACAUGCACUAGCUCCACCCCACGGGCUGUCCCAGGGCAAAAAUCAACCACAACUCAAACCAGAACCAACAGCAGGAGGUGGGGCGGCAGCAGUGGACAGCAGUGGACAGUCAACAGUGUCAGCACACCAUCAGCACAGGUCCACUGCCUCAGUCCACCCCAGGCUUCCUCAGAGAGCCAGAAGGGGAUGCUGACCCCCCCCUUUUUUUUAACCAUCUGCCAAACACGGGACAAAAACUACCAAAGGAAGACUUUUUAUUUUUCAAGUUUCUAUGGAGAUAUUACAAACAUGUAGACUUAAAAGAACAUUUAAAAUUUUUAGUAACUAUUUAGCUUUAAAAUAAAAAUAUGAUUAGGCAAAAUAAUAAAUAAUGCCACCCCAGGUCAGCUGUUAGAUCAAGUGUGUCACACCUGGUCACACCACCCACUCAAGGCCUCAGUGCUCCCACAUGUACCUCAGGCUACAGCUCACCCAGCCUCCUAGUGAUGCAGGAAUGAGAGGGCCACACUGUCCAAAUCUUCACUUUAUUUUUAAUAUAAAAAUGCAAAUUUGGAAACCCACCCUGCCUUUUCCCCUAACAUAAUGCUUUACCUCUUAGAAAUAAAAAUAAAGUACUAAUUCUAUAUACAUCACAUGUACCAUACAAAAAUGUAUCCAAAGGUCUAUUGCUACCAAAGUGUUCUAAAUUAAAACAAGUUACAGAAAGCUCCUCAUUGUAAACAAAAGAUUACAAGUUACAAAAAUCAAAGUACACACAGGCCCAUCAUGUAUAUAACCUCGCAACACAUUCUGCUCCCACACCAAGUUGAGUUUUUAUGUGCCUGUAUAAAAAUGCAUAUCAAUAUACCUUUGCAAAUUUAUUUUUUCAUUAUAAAGCAAAUGAGUACACUUUCUACAAUAAAUAACCCGCUGGGAGGCACGCCUGCAGGAGCCAGGGCAGAACAGGAGACUCAGGGCAGUCAGAACGGUGAGAACGGGCCCUGGCCGGCAGCAGCUGGCGGGACAUUUUUUGGUGAUUUGCAAGUGAUGCACACAGCAUAAAUUUAUUCCCUCUUUGCACAAAGUACCAUUCAAAAUAAUGUCAUUUUCUUUCUUAAAAUACACAUUUGUCAUUGUAAAUUUACACCCCGUCUUAUUAAAUAAGCGGUACUCUGUGUAAAGAGCAUGAUCUACAAAAUUAUUAAACAUUCAAAAGUCUUUAAAAAAAAAAACCCUACAGAUUAGAAGUAAGUGAGGCCUCGGCACUCGGCACCUGCAGUGGGACCCCACACCACACUGCUCGGAACAGACCCUCCUCACCUGCAAAGCCAAGACCAGAUGGUUUCAUAGAAAACUUGGAAGUGAAACCUCCCCUCCCGGGGGGGGGAAAAAGAAUUAAAGAACUACACCUAGAAAAUCAGAAUAAGUUAAGUUCUGAACAAUAUACAAACAUGUACAGCUUAUCAACACUAUUGACAGGGCUCCUGGUUGGCUGUGGCUUUAGCCACUGCCUUUUGCUGGAAGCCACCUCAGUCAAUGUCACUGAGGUCACUGGCUGGCUCCCCAUGGACUCGGCUCAGAUGAUUCAUGGCUCGAUCAAAUGCAAUCCGCACAGCCUUCCGGAUGCUAGAGUUCCUCCCUUCCAUCAUUUUCAGUUUGUCAAUGGUCUCAUCCACACCAAGAGGAACCAUCUUGGACUUGGGAAGCCACUGCCUUUUAAAGAGAAGACAGAGCAUAAGAACCGCCAGCCCAUACUUGGUAUGGCCCACUAACCAUCAGCCCAUGUGCACAACAAGGAACCUGGCGGUACCCAACCCAAGCUCCCCACAUGCUGGACACCUCAUGCAGGAAGUUCAGCUGCAUAGGGCAUCCACCUAGCCAGCCCUGUCUGGACUCAGGUAAGGCAUGUAAACCAUAAUACAAUCCUCUUUUCCAUACACAUGAAAGUGGCCUUGGAGAUAAAUCUGGAACAUACAGCUAUGCACACAGAACAGGCCCAAGAUAACACAAGUGUGUGGCCCACUAGGUGAGCCCAGGUACACGUGUAUGUAAGGGACCAAGCAGGAUAUGUAUACACAUAACAUAGGCCAGUGAACUCUGGAGCAGAGUAAGGAGGCCUCCUAGGAUGGGUGAGAAGACUAUACACAGAACCAUCGAGUGGGCAAGGCCAGUCUAAGCCUCAAUGAACACCAACUGCCAGGAGCCAGAGCCAGGCAGAGAGAAGAGGACCACAGGGGACCUGCUAUCUCCCCAAGAGUGGCCACUCAACAGGACACUAACUACUGACGCACCUCUUAGUCCUAAGCAAGGCCAGCUGAAAGGACCUAGUUACACAGGAAAGGGCUGGAUUCAACUAAAUAUGGUCAAGGUGUCACUAGAUAAUACCCUCAGGGAAUAUUAGGGUCUGAUCCGUGGCAUAAGGGAGUUCCGGUAGCUCUGGGUAGAGAGAGGACAGGAAGAUAGAGAGGGUGGAAAGGGGUGGAGCUUGUGUCCUGGCAGAGCUGUAGGAUCAAAAAGCCCAUUGCAAGAGAGUCUAGAGCAAGAACUGAAGACAGCCUGAGCCACUCAGGGAUCUAGGAAGUGAGAGGAGCUGUCAGGAGAGACCAGCACUCCACCGUGCCCAGGCGGCAGCAGACAAGGACCAGGAAAGACUGCUCGGAGGCACCCUGACUCAGCAUGGGUAAGCGAAGCCCCAGGUGUAACAGAACCCCAGCUCCGCCUGCUGUAGAGUUCUAAACACCACACUCACCAGCUUCUCUUAUUGUCAAAGAACAAAACAAGGAACAGCUUCUCCUCAGACUUGGUCUGCAUGUGUUCACCGAUCUUCAGCACAUCCAGGGGCGGGGCGGGGAUGGUGACACCAUUGUGGUGGCCAGGCACUCGUGGCAUCUUGGGGUCAAUAAUCUGCCAAGGACAUGUUCCAGUGACUCAGAGCCACAUGCCUAAACCCACAGCCAUUCAUACACCUGCCCCAAGCUCUGACAAUCACACCUUUGGCAGCACAGACUGCAAGGUGCAGAGCAUGCACUGGCGCCCCAACCCAGGUCCCACCAGAACACCCUACUCACUGCCUCCAGACUCACCAGUGCUGGGUAGGAGGGAUAGCCGCUACACUUGGCCCACACCACCUUCAGGGGCUCCAGGACGGAGGCAGCGGCAUCGGUGGAAAUCCACAUGCUGUUCUGUCCCACCUCUAGGAAAAAAGGAACACCUGAGUCAGACCAAGCAGGAGAACCACUAAUACCCAACACAGCCACUAAGCCUGGGGCUAGAAAAAGUCCCACUCCUCUCAGGCCCCAGCUCCCCUAGCUGCUAGAGCAGAUAGUUCUACAACACCUCAGCCAGGAGAAGCAGGAACCUCACUGUUCCUCCCGUGGAAGUGAGGCCUAGAAGCCUGCCAAAGGGCUCCCUGCUUCCCACCACCCCCAGUUCUAAGGCCUAGGACUUCAGGUCCCCUGUACCUCGCCAUACUUAAACCUCGAUUCUAAAGACAGGAUCCUUAGCAUGUACCAGACGCCUAUUACACAACCAAACAGCCAAAUACAAGUUCUGGCUUAUUCCAAACUACUGCCACCUGGCUCUUGUGAGCCUCGCUGAGUCUAUCCAGCCGCCCAGGACACGCCUGUGUACAGGCCUCACCGACUACUGUUGGUAAGUGAUGCCACUCUCAGCAGCACCAUGUCCUAGCUUCUCCGUAACCCAGGACCUCCAGCACUGCUGUCGCACUGCACUGCAGCCUCUAUGGCCACAGCCCAUUCCCUGCAGUCUCCAGCCCUUCUCAAUUUCAGGUCUUUGCCCUGACAAGCCUCAAACAACAGCCAAGUACUUCUAUCCCCGGAGUGGGCUUGGUCCACUAACAGGAAAAUCUAAACAGCAUCAGCCUAGCAGGCACUCCUCCCUUACACGGAGCCUGAAGCUAGGAAUGAUCAGCCUGCUGUGACACCUUCAGUUACAAGGCAGAUAUCCUCAACAGACCCUGUCCUGGACAAAUUCCAUCAUCAGGAACUACCCAAGCCAAAUACAAUGCAGCUCCGGACAGGCCUGAAACCCCAGCAUCAGUGAGUUAAGCAUAUGCUUAUUCCUUUCCUCUAAUGUGGGGGGCUUGACUCACAGCCCCAAGCCACCAAGACCAGACCUUGCCUUUCCAUCCAAGUCUGUAUCCCAACUCACCAGCUGCAAUCCUGGCCGCCUUGGCGUAGUUUCCAUUUUCAAUACAAGAUAUCAGCUCACUGCGGUCUUCCAGUGUGUGCCUUCGUACAAGCGCAGGCUUCCCUCGGCCACACUUGGGUGUACUAAAGCUUCGGGAGGAAAGCAGAGAUGAGUCAAACUCAGACUACGGUUUAUAGUGCCCUUCCUGGGGCUUCAUCCUAUACCAGGUGCCAGGCUGCCAAAGGACAAUGUGGUGUGGAGACCCAAGGAAAGUAAGCCUGUCCCCAUGAGGCCACUUGACAGAGUGGUCACUACAGUACCGGCAGGCAGAGCACUCAGUGCACACCACAAUCUUAGUAAGAGAAAAGGUUUGGGGAGUGGGAGGUGCAGAGUUUAAUUAUGCUGAUUUAAUUAUACAGUAUAAUUUAGAGUAACUUCUGACUUCUGUUAAAUUCUACUGAGCAGGUUCAAUUUAUCCCAUGAGAAACUGUCCCUGAAUGGCAGAGCACACACAUAAAACUCCAGGGCAAUCUUUCUAGAUCUUCAUUCAGAAGGCGGCCAAGGCCCCUGCUGCAGAAGGCAGAGGGCUACCUUGAGUCACACAGUGGGCUGUUGCUGGAACAAAUGCUGGACUCAGAUGCACAGCGCCGUCGGGGCGCAGCUUUCCUCCCUGGGCCGCUGCCUGGCUCCUGCUCGCUUCUAGUACCCCCAAAGCCAUUGGUGAGACCUGGAACACAAGAAGCAGACAGAUACAUGGUCACAAUACACCAGAGCACUAGCUCAACUUAAUACCUUUCUCCUCCUCAAAAAUUACAAUCAGUUUUCCAAAUAACUGUGCUUCUGUGAGGCAGGGUUUCAGGUCCAGGUUGCUCCUGAAUCUCUGAUCUUCUUGCCUCCAUCCCUGGUUCCUGAGGUGCUGGGGCUCAAGCCCAGAGUUCCCGGCUGCUAGUCCAGCUAGUUGAGCUACAUCACUGGUCCCACAAAGAACAUUCUAUACACAAAAAAGCCAGCACCUCAUCUCUCACUCCCAUGACCUCAGUGGACAGACGCAGAGGCACUGCUGUGUAAGGAAAAAGUCAGAGCAGUUCUGCACUUGCUCAAUGAGUCCCAUGAGUGCAAAGCAAAAAGAAACUGUCACCACUUCCCAAGUUAACGUAUCCCAUGCUGUAAGGUCUGUGAGCUUACAACAAAACUAGACUGUUCACUAGACAAGGUAGCAGUGUCUAGAUGAGAGCCCUGCAGUACCCGAGGGAGGUGGAACACUGCAGUCCUCCACAAAAUACACUGGUCAUGCACAACUGUAGGAAGGGAGGGGAGGGGAGGAGAGGGGAGGGAGAGGGGAGGGGAGGGGAGGAGAGGGGAGGGAAAGGGAGGAACACAAAGAGAGAUCAGGGCAAUACAGUCCAGUAACAGAGCACCUGCCUAGCAUGCAUGCAGGCCCUGGGUCUGACCACCAGCAAAAAAAAAAAAAAAAAAAAAAUAGAAA